GAGAUUUCUGUGUUGCGCGUUACUCAGGGCCUUUGGACUUUGCAUUUGAGAUUUCGAGUCAGGUACCUGAAGUAGCGCGCGAAACGGAAAUAC
rfam:Phlebotomus papatasi Contig29.67, whole genome shotgun sequence.